rnacentral:rRNA from 1 species
UACGAAGGGGGCUAGCGUUGCUCGGAAUCACUGGGCGUAAAGGGUGCGUAGGCGGCCAACUAAGUCAUACGUGAAAUCCCUCGGCUUAACCGGGGAACUGCGUCUGAUACUGGAUGGCUUGAGAUUGGGAGAGGGAUGCGGAAUUCCAGGUGUAGCGGUGAAAUGCGUAGAUAUGUGGAGGAACACCGAUGGCGAAGGCAGCCUUCUGGGCCAACACUGACGCUCAUGCACGAAAGCGUGGGGAGCAAACAGG